rnacentral:rRNA from 1 species
CCUACGGGUGGCAGCAGUCGAGAAUCAUUCACAAUGGGGGAAACCCUGAUGGGGCGACGCCGCGUGGGGGAAUGAAGGUCUGCGGAUUGUAAACCCCUGUCAUGUGGGAGCAAAGUAAAAAGAUAGUACCACAAGAGGAAGAGACGGCCAACUCUGUGCCCGCAGCCGCGGUAAUACAGAGGUCUCAAGCGUUGUUCGGAACCACUGGGCGUAAAGAGUGCGUAGGCUGUUUCGUAAGUCGUGUGUGAAAGGCGCGGGCUCAACCCGCGGACGGCACAUGAGACUGCGAGACUAGCGUAAUGGCGUGGGAACCGGAAUUCUCGGUGUAGCCGUGAACUGCGU